UGUAUGUUAUCCGUUUCCCCUGUUUGUGUUGCCUUUAUUUAUGUGUUGAGUCGUUGGAUGUGUGAGUGUGUAUGCCUGCAACGCUUAAUUACACGCAAUCGCAUAAAGUCAGAGACUCGCAGGCAACAGCUAAGUGUAGGCAGCCCUCGAGUUGAAUGGAACAGAUUUAUCGCUAGCUGUAUGCAGCAAAGCAAGGGUUGUCGAUAGACUUGCCAGGGUAAAUAUAAAAUCACUUUCCAAAUCCAUGCGGCCAUUGACCACAUGGCGUAUGCUUAAUCGUAAUGGCAAUUAUGUACUCACUGGCUAAAUGGCAAUGCAUUAAAACUAAAAGCGU